GAUAAUGAAGUAAAAGUAUUUACAAUUAGUUUCGACCUAAUAUUAGGAAAUAAUUCCCUUAUCU
rnacentral:tRNA from 1 species